UAGGGAAUCUUCGGCAAUGGACGAAAGUCUGACCGAGCAACGCCGCGUGAGUGAAGAAGGUUUUCGGAUCGUAAAACUCUGUUGUUAGAGAAGAACAAGGACGUUAGUAACUGAACGUCCCCUGACGGUAUCUAACCAGAAAGCCACGGCUAACUACGUGCCAGCAGCCGCGGUAAUACGUAGGUGGCAAGCGUUGUCCGGAUUUAUUGGGCGUAAAGCGAGCGCAGGCGGUUUCUUAAGUCUGAUGUGAAAGCCCCCGGCUCAACCGGGGAGGGUCAUUGGAAACUGGGAGACUUGAGUGCAGAAGAGGGGAGUGGAAUUCCAUGUGUAGCGGUGAAAUGCGUAGAUAUAUGGAGGAACACCAGUGGCGAAGGCGGCUCUCUGGUCUGUAACUGACGCUGAGGCUCGAAAGCGGGGGGAGCAAACAG
rnacentral:rRNA from 1 species